rnacentral:rRNA from 1 species
AUUGAACGCUGGCGGCAGGCCUAACACAUGCAAGUCGAGCGGAUGAAGGGAGCUUGCUCCUGGAUUCAGCGGCGGACGGGUGAGUAAUGCCUAGGAAUCUGCCUGGUAGUGGGGGAUAACGUCCGGAAACGGGCGCUAAUACCGCAUACGUCCUGAUGGAGAAAGUGGGGGAUCUUCGGACCUCACGCUAUCAGAUGAGCCUAGGUCGGAUUAGCUAGUUGGUGGGGUAAAGGCCUACCAAGGCGACGAUCCGUAACUGGUCUGAGAGGAUGAUCAGUCACACUGGAACUGAGACACGGUCCAGACUCCUACGGGAGGCAGCAGUGGGGAAUAUUGGACAAUGGGCGAAAGCCUGAUCCAGCCAUGCCGCGUGUGUGAAGAAGGUCUUCGGAUUGUAAAGCACUUUAAGUUGGGAGGAAGGGCAGUAAGUUAAUACCUUGCUGUUUUGACGUUACCGACAGAAUAAGCACCGGCUAACUUCGUG